rnacentral:rRNA from 1 species
GACGAACCGUGCGAACGUUAUUCGGAAUCACUGGGCUUAAAGCGCGUGUAGGCGGACUGCCACGUCGGGCGCUGAAAUCCCCCGGCUCAACCGGGGAAUGGGCACCGAUACGAGCAGUCUUGAGGGGAGUAGGGGGACCUGGAACUUCCGGUGGAGCGGUGAAAUGCGUUGAGAUCGGAAGGAACGCCCGUGGCGAAAGCGAGGUCCUGGGCUUCUACUGACGCUGAGACGCGAAAGCCAGGGGAGCAAACGGG